ensembl:lncRNA
AGUUGGUUGGGUUAUUUUGACCCAGCAACUGGUUUAUUACUUUUUCAUUCUUUGCGGAACUUUCUGGAUUCUUCACUUCUGACUGGAGGAGGCACGCACUCGGAGCGGGCAGUGUUUUAUGAUUUCACAAGAUUUCUGUAUCCUGUAUCCUGAUGCAGCGAGGAAACUGUUUGAAAACUGGACCACGAUAAGUGAAAGAAUUCUUCCAUAUGCCCAGCAAGAGGGUAAACUGCCCUCAGUACUGGGUGACAUGACACCAGCUGCUAAAGAGGAGACAGCUUUGAAGGUCCUGCCAACUCUGCUUCCCCCAUCCAUCUACAGGAGAGGAGGAAAGGUCUUCAGACCCACCACAGAGGAGGCCCAGAAGUCAUUUAUUGACAUGCAACCUGUUGGGACCAACAUGGUUGAAUAUUUAAACCAUGAGAUGACUGGAGCAUUGCUGCACAUUCUUGCCUCAGUGAUGAGACAAGGGGGACAUCACAGACCUUUGCCAUUAUUCCAGGCCACGCCAUUGAGACUGUGUCUUUGUUGGAGGCGGUUGAUCUUUGCUUUAAAGCUUUUUUUGUUUUUGAUGUUCAGUACACCAAGCAGUGUCUCCCCACCUGGGAGUUUCUCCAGCAUGCUGUAUAUCAAAUUGAAGGAAAAGAGUCCUCCUCUGUAAAGUUUUUGAGGACAACAGUGGUUUCAGGCCCACAUGAUAUGUAGAUGAUUUUAAAAUGUAUUUUGUUGCUGUUCUUAAAUCAACACAUCUUAAUAAAUUAAAUUGUAAUCGUAUGAGAGUUCAAAUUAGUUGUUUAAUGACUUUUAAUGCCUGAAUAUUUGGACAGAUUUACAUUUGUUAUAAAGUCUGUGGGGAAGGGUGAAUGUCAGAGGGUGUGUGGGUG